CCAUGGGAAAGCUGCAUUUGACACUGGCAGAUCAAGAAUGACACAUGCCAAAUGCUCAUAUGAACAAUAUGUAAACAGCAACAAGUAUUAGAGGUAGGCUUUGCAAUGUAUUUCUAAUAUUCAUACCCAGAAAAUAAUGACUGGCUGCAAUAAAGGACGACUCAUCACUGUAACAGCCUUGUGAAAGAGAAACAGGAAGAAGUAAAAGUUUGGGUCUUCAUUCUGGCUUUCAGGGCAGCAAAGGCAGCAGGAAGCCCGUGACUUUUCAGAGAUAAUGACCAGCAGCUCUUCCAGUAACAUCAGCCAACUCUUUCAGCACCCUUGGGUACAUGCAUCUGACCCCAUGGACUUGUACACAUCCAGCUUUUCCAAAUACUUCCUAAACUGUUCUUUUGCAACUGUUGGCUGCCUACCUCUUCUGCAAACUGUGCUGCCAGGUACAGUAAUAUGCAAGCAGACCCUGCCUGUGAAGACUGAGGAGGAUCGGGUGGAGUAGGGGAAGAGGACCAUGCACAGGUGAACUUGCACCUGCCUUUGAUUCCUGGUUCAUCCAAAGUUUAAAACCAGCUGCUUGGCAGUGGCAGCAGAAUGCCUAAAGGACAGCGCUGAGGAAGUGAAUUGACUUCAUGGCCCAUAAUCUACUCGAACUGUUCUAAACUCAUCAUUCCAUAGGUGUUAACAACCCUCUCUUAAUGCUCAUCCUGUUCCAACAAUCAAACUAGCCUUUGUUCUGCACGUUUGUUGUCUGUGAGCUGCUCCUGGGAAGGAAGCUCCUAUUUCACAGCCCUGCGUAUUUUUUUUCACUCAUACCAAUAAAGUUAUAUUUAUUUUCGCUUCAACCUUACACUGAAUAAUCCAGCCCUAGCCCCUAGCCUAUGAAUAAAGCUUUUAGUUUCUUUUUAGCUGGAGAAAAAUGUGUUGUUUCAUAUGUGAUGAUGCAUCUUACCAUCUGAACCCCAACUUUUCAAAAUUCUAGAUUGGCCCAUGCAUAUCAUGGUUCCUGUUGCUGAUCAAGUCUUUGCUACUCAGAUGACAGCAGUGGUGAGCAAUUAUUUGGGCCCAUGGGCCACACAGGGAGUUUUGCUGAGCUCUCAUGGGCUGGAUCAGCAUCCCCCUUUGCCAUGCAACAACUCACUAAAACUCCUUAUGUGGGGUGGGCCUGCAGGUGGGCAGGAAAGUGUUCAGGAGCAGGACAACCUCACCCAGUGGGUGAGGUUAGAUUUACAGGCCAGGGUUGCAGCAGUGACAGCACAGGGCUGGGACCCAUGGCAGAGCUGUGAUCUGCUGUCCUCAUGACUCUUCAAUUGGCAUGGGUUCUGGUGGCAGGGGCAUGAAGGGAGUAGAUCACAGCCCCGUAUUGUCACUGGCCCAAAAUCCCGGCCUGGGCCCCAGCUCCCCACACAGCUCCCGGCUGGUCUUCAUGAAGACCCCAGGAUCUUUGAGUAGUGAUAGUGUGGGGCUGGGGCAGAGCCAUAAUUCACUGCCUACAUGUGCCUGCCUGCAGAACUGGUGCUCUGCUCCAGGCCCUGGCUCCAUGCCGUCACCACCCCAAGAUCUCAAGGUCUCCCCAGCACUGCGCACCUGUCUUGCUCCUGGAUGCCACUUGCACUGGUCCAUGGCCCCAUCCCGGCCGCCCAUCCUACACCCCCAGCUUGGUGUCAUCUGCAAACUUGCUGAGGGUGCACUCCAUCCCAUUUUCCAGAUAACUGAUGAAGACAUUGAACAAAACUGGCCCCAGAACUGACCCCUGGGGCACUCCACUUGAUACUGGCUCACAAGUAGAUAUGGAGCCAUUGAUUACUACCCUUUGAGCCUGACAGUCCAGCCAGUUUUCUAUCUACCUUACAGACCAUUUAUCCAACCCAUAUUUCCUUAGUUUGUGAGAAUGUUGUGGGAGACUAUAUCAAAAGUCUUCCUAAAGUCAAAGUAUAUCACAUCCACUUGUCUCCCUGCAUCCACAGAGCCACUCAUCUCAUCAUGGAUGACUGUUUUUGCCCUGUUUCCAGUGGGAUGCCUAGAACAGGUAUUUCAAACAGGACUGUCCCAGGGAAAACAGAACUGUUUCAUGCUCGGCACCUCACCUGAGAACAGAGUUUGGAGAUAGAGGAAUGUGAUGGGGAGUAGGGGGAGGGAGUUUUGUUUUCUGAGAGGGGAAAUAUGGUCAGCCUACCAAUACAUUAAAUGUAGCUUGUAUGCAUGUGCUCUUUAUACUCAUGUGCUUAUUGUAGAAGAGGGCAGAAACUGCAAAUUACCUGCAAAGAGAAUGUUAGCUAUGCUACAGUCUACUGCAUUAAUGAGAAAUUACCUGAGUCUCACUUCUUGUUUCAGGGAAGGCUAUGGUAACAUGAUAGAGCUAAAUUCUGAUCUUGGAUGCACAUACAAUUUUCCAACAGAUAACAAAAUAUCAGUCACCUAACAUGAUACCUUUUAUUUGAAGGCCCCAUACUCUGUUUUUAGACUCACACACCUCCUCCUGGCUUGACAUCAAAGGAGUCUUGUCCUCAUAUCAGAGGUGAUAAUUUGGCUCUAGGGGAAUAUUCAUUCUAGAAGGAAAAAAGAAUGUAAAUCUGCACCCUAUAAGAAGGGACGGGGGAUUGUAUCAUGAGCUCUCUUGCAAUUAAAUGAAGAUUGUAAUAAUUCUAUUCUACAACAAGGAGCAGAAAAAAGUUAAAACUGCAAGUCACGUGUGGUAGAUGUUGUUUGAUAGUAUAAUCUGUCAACAUAAGGUGGAAGAAUUUUGGCUUUGCAAUCUGGUUUGGAGUCCAGCCACACAGUUUUGCACAACUAUGUCUGAACUGUAUCAACAUGAUCUCAAAGUAGUGUAAGGGAGAGGAAUUUGAUUCUGAGUAGUAUCAGAACAAUUAAUACACCAAAUUCAAUGGAACUCAAUGUCAACAAGCACAAGAUAAUACACCUGGGAAAAACAGCCUCAGUGAUAUGUACACAAUGCUGGAUUCUGAACUAGCUGUUACGACUCAAGAAAGAGACCUUGGUAUCACUGUAGGUAGUUCUUUAAAAACAUUAUCUCAAUGUACAGUGGUGACCAAAAAGCCAAUAAAAAUCUUUAAUGCAUCCACAUCUUGAAUACUGUGUCCAGUUAUGGUCCUUACAUCUCAAAAAUGAUGUAGUAGAAUUAGAAAAAGAACAGAGAAGGGCAACCAAAUGAGCAGUUGCCCAUACCAGGAAAGACCAAAAAAAGGCUAGGAUUCUUCAGUUUGGAAAGAUGGCUGAGAAGGGAUAGAACAGAAGUCUAUAAAAUCAUCAUCAGUGACUUGGACGAGGGAGUGAAAUGUACUCUGUCCAAGUUUGCAGAUGACACAAAGCUAUGGGGAGAUGUGGACACGCUGGAGGGCAGGGAACAGCUGCAAGCAGACCUGGACAGGUUGGACAAGU